AUUGAACGCUGGCGGAAUGCUUUACACAUGCAAGUCGAGCGGCAGCGCGGCCUUCGGGCUGGCGGCGAGCGGCGAACGGGUGAGUAAUGCAUCGGAACAUGCCCAGUCGUGGGGGAUAACACUUCGAAAGAAGUGCUAAUACCGCAUACGUCCUGAGGGGGAAAGCGGGGGAUCGCAAGACCUCGCGCGAUUGGAGUGGCCGAUGUCAGAUUAGCUAGUUGGUGGGGUAAAGGCCUACCAAGGCGACGAUCUGUAGCUGGUCUGAGAGGAUGAUCAGCCACACUGGGACUGAGACACGGCCCAAACUCCUACGGGAGGCAGCAGUGGGGAAUUUUGGACAAUGGGGGCAACCCUGAUCCAGCCAUUCCGCGUGAGUGAAGAAGGCCUUCGGGUUGUAAAGCUCUUUCGGCAGGAACGAAACGGUGGGCUCUAACAUAGUCCGCUAAUGACGGUACCUGAAGAAGAAGCACCGGCUAACUACGUG
rnacentral:rRNA from 1 species